AGAAUCAACGCUGGCGGCGUGCCUAACACAUGCAAGUCGAACGAGAAAGUGGUAGCAAUACCAUGAGUAAAGUGGCGCACGGGUGAGUAACACGUGACUAACCUACCCUUGAGUGGGGGAUAACUGAGGGAAACCUUAGCUAAUACCGCAUAAUACCCACGGGUCAAAGGAGCAAUUCGCUCGAGGAGGGGGUCGCGGCCGAUUAGUUAGUUGGCGGGGUAAUGGCCCACCAAGCGAUGAUCGGUA
rnacentral:rRNA from 1 species